rnacentral:snoRNA from 1 species
AGACCAUGAUGAGGACACUCUAAGAGAAGAUCUUUAAAUCAUUCCAUACAUCGAGAGAAUGAUUCAUUGGGUCUUUGGUGAAACCGGAGAAUAUCGUUCCUAAGCUU